rnacentral:rRNA from 1 species
UACGUAGGUGGCAAGCGUUGUCCGGAAUUACUGGGUGUAAAGGGAGCGCAGGCGGGGAAGCAAGUCGGCUGUGAAAUGCAUAGGCUUAACCUAUGAAUUGCAGUUGAAACUGUUUUUCUUGAGUGGAGUAGAGGUAGGCGGAAUUCCGAGUGUAGCGGUGAAAUGCGUAGAUAUUCGGAGGAACACCAGUGGCGAAGGCGGCCUACUGGGCUCUAACUGACGCUGAGGCUCGAAAGUGUGGGGAGCAAACAGGAUUAGAUACCCUGGUA